rnacentral:piRNA from 1 species
UGCCAGUUCUUGAUACAAUGUUUAUAAGGA